GGGGAUAUAGCUCAGUUGGUAGAGUGCUUGCCUUGCAUGCACAAAGCCCUGGGUUCAAUCCCCAGCACCACCC
rnacentral:tRNA from 1 species